rnacentral:rRNA from 1 species
GUCCUAGCCGUAACGAUGGUCACUAGGUGUUGCUGGUAUCGACCCUGCAGUGCCGCAGCUAACGCAUUAAGUGACCCGCCUGGGAGUACGGCCGCAAGGUUGAACUCAAAGGAAUUGACGGGGCCCGCACAAGCGGUGGAGCAUGUGGCUCAAUUCGAGGCUACGCGAAGAACCUUACCUGGGUUUGACAUCCUUGGAAUCCCCUGAAAGGGGAGUGCCCUUCGGGGAGCCAAGAGACAGGUGGUGCAUGGCUGUCGU